AGAGAAGUGGCAGAGUGGUCGAAUGCACCGGUCUUGAAAACCGGCGUACCGCGAGGUACCGGGGGUUCGAAUCCCUCCUUCUCUGCAA
rnacentral:tRNA from 1 species